UCGAAUUAACCUAACUAAUUAAGUAUUCCUUUAAACCACAAGUUAUAUCGCAAACUGCCAUUUAUAACACAAUUUUAUUCAUUCAAUCAUAAUAUCCACCAAUUGCUAAGAAAUUCAGAAUAGCUUUACAUUGACUCCAAAUCAUAUAUUGAUGACUCUCAUCCUAAUUGAUAUCUCAAUAAUUCCAUGAGCAAAUUUUAAAUUAAUAACUCACCAGAUUAACACACUUAAGUUAGCCGUCAAGUAUAGUUAAGAUCUACUCUUAGAUCGUCUUGUUAACACAUCCGCUAAUCUUAUACUCUAUAUUUUCAAUCUUUAAAUACUUGCGUGUAUUCUUCUCACUAAAUUUGCUAAAAUUAUUCCAAAUCUACUUGUUUACUCUUACACAAAUUUUCAAUAUCCCAAAUAAAUAGUAAAU
rnacentral:lncRNA from 1 species